UCUUCAUCAGGAACUUUCCCAGGAGCUGUGUGCAGCCUUUCCCUCCCUGCUUGCACUCUCACAUCCUUCUCACUCCUGCCUUGAAAGGCUUUGAUUUCCUGAGGUUUAUUUCAGCUUAAAAAAUCUCUUGCAGCAAAACCAUCAGUGCUGCUGAGAGAAACACCUCAGACCAGCUCAGGACUAGACAAACACAGAUCCAAAUUCCUACUUGAGAGGAAGAGGAAGCCUGACCAGGAGCCAAGUGCUGCCAGGCUGUCAUCAUGGCUGGAACCAGGUGUGGAUGCUGCUUCAGUACUGGGAUGUGGCAGUUCCUUCUGGACAGCAUUAAGCAGAUGAAAACAGAAACACCAUGCCAUGGACAGUCACACACAGCAAACAGCCCAAGCUGGGCAAUGCCUUGUGAAUCCUAAGACAGAGCUGUGAUCCUGCCCCUAAAAAGAGGAGGAGAAUGACGGACUGUUGGUUUGUCCAGUCUCAUUGGAGAAGUGGCACUGUCACCCUCCUAUCCAUUGUCACUUUUGGAAAACUGUAAAUGUUGGAGUCAGAAAAUAAACUUCCCUUUUUCUCUUCACCUUGAGAACGGCAGUGUGUGCCUGUGUUCUUUCGUGUCCUAUAGUGACACCCUUUUACCAAAAAGGUAAAAACCCUAGACAGCCUCAUGGAACAAGCAGGUGGAACAAGUUUUCAAUCCUAUUUCAGUAACAGACUGUGUUACGGCAAUAUUAUGUAUAAGUUCAGGUCAUUUUAUGUAAACAUCCUUCUCAAGUAGGUCAGGAAGACAAAAAUAUACAAAUAUUAUUGUCCAAAUUACUCAGAUCAAACAACAAUCUGAGAUCAGCUCCAAAUCUCCUACUUCGUUCUUUUAUGUGUAUGCACUUAUAUACAUUCCAAAUGCAUU